GAUGAACGCUGGCGGCGUGCCUAAUACAUGCAAGUCGAGCGAACAGACGAGGAGCUUGCUCCUCUGACGUUAGCGGCGGACGGGUGAGUAACACGUGGAUAACCUACCUAUAAGACUGGGAUAACUUCGGGAAACCGGAGCUAAUACCGGAUAAUAUAUUGAACCGCAUGGUUCAAUAGUGAAAGACGGUUUUGCUGUCACUUAUAGAUGGAUCCGCGCCGCAUUAGCUAGUUGGUAAGGUAACGGCUUACCAAGGCGACGAUGCGUAGCCGACCUGAGAGGGUGAUCGGCCACACUGGAACUGAGACACGGGCCAGACUCCGACGGGAGGCAGCAGUAGGGAAUCUUCCGCAAUGGGCGAAAGCCUGACGGAGCAACGCCGCGUGAGUGAUGAAGGUCUUCGGAUCGUAAAACUCUGUUAUUAGGGAAGAACAAAUGUGUAAGUAACUAUGCACGUCUUGACGGUACCUAAUCAGAAAGCCACGGCUAACUACGU
rnacentral:rRNA from 1 species